rnacentral:lncRNA from 12 species
CCCAUAGUCCUUACUCUGCACGUGACUAAGCCUUACCUACCAGUGAGCUAUUAUGGGAAGUAUGAAAGUCUUUCUAAACUUUGGUAUUCACCGUAAGGAUUAUUCACACUAUAAUUAAAAUAUGAAUCACCUUGUUUUGAUUUGUCUCCCCAGAAAGCAGAGCUCUGAAGUCAUGACUUGUGUAUCGGGUGGUAUUGACCUGGCAGUCUGAAAAUCUUCUGAAAAGUAUCCUUACAAUGAAUUCAUCCUUGUGAGCAAUUUGUGUAUCUCUUCCUUGGAACUCUUGAGAAUGUGACCCGCUGGACUAGAAAAACCUCUAUGGCGAAAAAGAAACAUUUUCCUGCUAAU